AUUACACAUCUCCUCUUACCAUAAGGAAGUAUGCUCACUUUUCAUUGUUGCCAUUGUAUCUGACUUUUGCCUCGUCUCUUCCUACUGACCAAUCACCUAUAGCCAGACAGGCAAAUUUAUGCAGACCUUGUGUGAGGAAAUAGUUCCCCGAUAUAUGAUUAAUGAUCUUUGAGUUAGGGCCUAUGGUCUGCCCUAUGAAUAAAGUUGAAGGAAUUCAGGACUACGUCAGGAGGUCAAGAGAGAAGAUUUGAACCCCGUCCUGCUGGCAACCAUAGGAGCGACGGUGAAGAAAGCAAUGUAGCUAGGAGCCUGACAACGUGAGAGCUAUAUAACAUAUGUGACUGGCAACAUACAAAGACUAAAGGAGGAACCACAGUGAAGCGAAUCAGCAUACCUAUCAUCUCACAGAGCCGGUCAUGUUUUGGCGCUAAGCACUCACUCACAUCAACUCAUUUAGCAUGAAUCUCAGACACGGGUGCAGUGGCACACAUCUGUGACCUCAUUGCCGCUAGAUCUGCAAAGGCGACUGGGGGGCUAAUGGAAAAUGCACAGGAGCAGAUCCUAACAUCUGGUUUGGACUGUUAAAGUACAUUCGACUAGAAAAUCUAGCCCCUGGCUUCAGAGGCUUCCCAGGUUGGCACGGUUUCCUGAGCCUUUGUUUCCAUCAAAAGCAAAGCUUGCUAGGGCUUUGAAUAAAAGGUCUCUGUGCUGAGGUACAUUAUUGUCUUGAGUGAUCUGGCGGCCUGAUUAGGUUGAAUUAAACCACUGGAGACUCUUCAAAAACCGGAGUCAAGCCAUGUCAUGAGGUAUAUACUGCGACAUCAAGUUCCUGUCACCACUAUGAGCUGCAGGGAAUGGAAAGGGUUCAAUUAGGUUGCCAAAUCCACUUCUACCUGCCACCAGAAGAGAACGUGGGCUAAAAACUGAUUUGGAAAAUAACAAUCACUGUUUUGUAACCUAAAGCCUUAAUUAGAAGUUAGGGAAUUGCUGUUCCUUCCAUGCACCCCACUCUCAGACAGUGUAAGCACGCUGAGCACCAACUGUGAUGAAUUUCAAUGUGUACUGUUUCUCCAAGCAAUAUCCUGCCAGGCUGGCCUAUAAGAUAACAAAAUCUCCAAUCUUGUUAUUUAGAAGAACAAGAAACAGAUUUUGGGGACAUUCCCACUCCUUUAAAAACUGCAAAGACCAGUUGGAAAAAAAAUCUAAAACAACAGCCAAGGGCAGAAAAGAAUUUAAUCUCCACCCUGCAUUGGGUGUUUCUGAAGUGGCACGCAUGCAGAGACCCACCUGGAAAAAGCAACAUGGGACGGAGAUAAUGAGAGCUAGGCAGAGGGCAAAGAACACUUAGUCUACCCAUCAGUGGCUUUCCAUAUUAAAAUGCUAUCUGCCUUUAGAAAAAGCUACAAGAGUUCUUUAAUGUCCCACAUAAUUAAUUCCUGCCAGCUGGUAUGCAAAACAAAGACAAGAUGGGGAACAGUAUUAUCAUGAUAGAUAAUUCUAUAUUAACAUUUUCCCCUUAACACAAUCCAAUUUCCAUAGUUUUCAAGUGAGGCAAAUGACGCAGGACCAAGAGGCUCCGAAAUAUUAACGUGCCAACUCCACUCCGAAACUUACCGCAGAUUGUGAUCUCUUUGGAGGGAAAGGUUUUUAUGUGAGUGAAAUUCGGCAUUUGCUUCAGGACUUUCCUAGCUUCAAAUAGCACCUCUAAGACGUAAUGAGCAUGAAGUGUCUGUGAAAGAGGGGCAGAGGAGAUGGAGAGAAUGAACAAGGGCGAAAGACAUGAUUGUAGAAAACUGUAAAAACAAAGCGUAUGAACACAUUUCAGGAUAAUCCUUAUUCUCAAAUAGAUUAUUCUAACAUAGUGUCUAGUACAUAA